AAAUUAGUUAAAUCUUAAGAUUUCUGGAAGAGAAGUGGUGGGUUGUUUGUGUUUUGGAAAACUGGUUUUUACAAAUAAUGUUGAAUUUGAAUAUGAAUUUCAGUAAGCCCUGUGCUCCUUUGCAAUCACAUAGGACAAAGGGGAGUUUCCUUUUGGAAGUAAUCUGGAAACGCCCUAUAUUCCACACAGACCAAAGCGACCUCUUACAACAGAAAAAUAAAAUGUUUGGACAGACUUGUGGUAAAGGAGGCUCUUCUUAUAAAACCUUCAGUCCCUCUCUGGAUUCCUUCAAACCUGUUAACCAAGCUUUGGUCUCUCUAUAUACUGUUCAGACAAAACCUGGUACCAAAGGUCCAUAAAGAGGGUUUCUUUUUCCUCAAAGAAGGGAGAAGAACAAACCAUAUGCCACUGACUACAAACAGAAUCAGACAUGAUGUACCUCAUUAGGAACAUUGCAGUAAGCUGAUCUAGGUGGAAGAAACUAUGCUGGGUAUUUUUACUGGCUAUGUCGUAACUUCUCCUCUCUUGAACCUGUAAAAUAUAUAUCUCUCCCACUUGUCCCUGCACUCUUUUUUAUAUCCUUUCAAACAUUGCAAAGCUGACCUUUUAGCCUCACCUCAAAUGAACUGGGAUUUAAGUCAUGUGAUAGAUUUACUAUUAUUCCAGUUUUGUAAUAUCUAAAUUUCUACUAAAUUUCUUGUAUCCAUCUUUCACCUAAUUGUGGCUAUAUGUUGAAAAAGAACAGCUGCACUGAUAAUGCUUACUCUGUAAUGCCCUUCACUUUUUGGACAAGUCUGUAUCUCCUUUUCACUUGUAAAUAAACUCUCCGUAAUGGACAUUUCCACAGCAAAAAUAUCCUUUUAUUUCUGUGAGAAACAGAUUUUCACCACCCUUUUUGGGCAGGAUGAGGUUGUGAUCUCUUGAGGCUGUUCCAGACAAGGCAUUUAUAACUCAACUUUUCCUUUUCUGUUGCCUGUUGAAGCUCAUGGGAUUUGCCAGGAGUCAAUGGAUGGUCUAGUGCUGUACCACUUCUCUGUUUCAUCAUUGGGCUUGCUCUCUUUUGUCACUUGUAAGGGCCCAACAAGCAUCCAUUAUUGCUCAGUGAAGUUUCCUGUGCUGAAAUUCUAAAAUGCCUGAUGGUAAGAAACUUCCAUCUCCCAGAAUAAAAUGGAGCUGCAGAUAUGCCAAGGACCUUGGCAGGAUGGCAGAGAUUCCGAACGUUAGGAGGAAAAACAGUAUGAAGCAAGAUUAGAUGAGCAUCAUUUACACAUUGAAGAAAACUCCCAAAAGAUCAGUGUAGAACUUGACACAAAUGUUCUUCAAGUAAAGUUAGAAUUUAUCCAUCUUCAUGCAUGCCUGGAUGUGAAAAACUGCAAUGAGAGGAGCUGUUAAAAUCUUACUAUGUUUAUGAUGCACCAGUAUAUAACAACUGGAGAAGACAGAACAAGGAAUCUAAACACAUAUAUAUUUACCCGUUUCAAGCAAUUUUCAGUUCAGAAUAUGUGAUGCUGACACGGGAAGAAACCACACCAUUGCUACUUCUGUUUGGUCAAUUAUUUGUUCAUUGUGUGAUAAAAAGCAAGGCUGGGUAUCAACUCUCACACAGAAAAAGAAAGGCAUUGUGUUUGGCCACAGACAACUUCUAAAAAUAAGCCUGGCAAAAAUGAAGAAGAGCCCAGUUGAAUCAUUCAUAGUCCAGAGAGCAUAUGACAUGGGCAAGAUGUCCACUUAGAUUUCAUCUUUGGUAACUUUCUGGAUCCCUUCCAAUUUGGCUUCCAGCCAAGAUAACCAAGGCAUAGGAACUCAAGACCAUAUCAGUUUGCCCUGGUAAACAAUCUACUUCUGAAGACAGACAGGAGAAAUGCUGCAGAAUUUGCAUGGUUCUGAAAGUUACUUUGGAUACUGUGGAUCAUAACCCUUUGCUCCACCACAUAUAAUACACUAGU